rnacentral:rRNA from 1 species
AUUGAACGCUGGCGGCAGGCUUAACACAUGCAAGUCGAGCGGAGAUGAGGUGCUUGCAUCUUAUCUUAGCGGCGGACGGGUGAGUAAUGCUUAGGAAUCUGCCAUUUAGUGGGGGACAACAUUCCGAAAGGAAUGCUAAUACCGCAUACGUCCUACGGGAGAAAGCAGGGGAUCUUCGGACCUUGCGCUAAAUGAUGAGCCUAAGUCGGAUUAGCUAGUUGGUGGGGUAAAGGCCUACCAAGGCGACGAUCUGUAGCGGGUCUGAGAGGAUGAUCCGCCACACUGGGACGGAGACACGGCCCAGACUCCUACGGGAGGCAGCAGUGGGGAAUAUUGGACAAUGGGCGGAAGCCUGAUCCAGCCAUGCCGCGUGUGUGAAGAAGGCCUUUUGGUUGUAAAGCACUUUAAGCGAGGAGGAGGCUACUAGUACUAAUACUACUGGAUAGUGGACGUUACUCGCAGAAUAAGCACCGGCUAACUCUGUGCCAGCCGCCGCAGUAA